rnacentral:rRNA from 1 species
ACGACCAUACCCACUGGAAAACUCGGGAUCCCGUCCGCUCUCCCAUAGAUAAGCCAGUGAGGGCCGGAUUAGUAGUUGGGUCGGUGACGACCAGCGAAUACCCGGUGUUGUAUGUU